CCUGUGGUGGGGUCCCGUGGCUGCCUUCAACUCUCCAGGCCCAAGUAAGAAUGCUAAAGAUCAACUGACCUUCAAGUAUAUUUUGAGAUAGAUUCUACCAUAGCUUGUUAAACUGGAC